GCUGCCAAGCCUUUCACACUCUCUUCUCUGAAAUCUCAGCGCUGCCAGCGACCAGCUGGGGAUCUGAGCAUCGGCAAUCUGCUGGCCAGCUCUGCCCAACCCCCCCACUCGAGAGGGUUCGUUUCUGAAAGGGCACCGUUGAGCGUCUCUUAAUGCAUGCUGCGGAGUGGGGAAGGCAGUGUGUGUUAUUACGGGGUGGAAACCGUCGCCAAUCAAGGAGCACACUUUUGACCAUGGCAGAACUGUAGCGUUGGUGUCCGGUCUGGAACCAGCAAGGCCUUUCCACCACACUGAAGAAGGCACCAGCUGAAAACGUUUGUAGUCUGCUUGACUUAUGGUUAUGAGUUUUACCUUUCAACCACACUGCCUCCAGCCUGCACACUGAAGACAAGACCACACUGCCUCCAGCCUGCACACUGAAGACAAGACCACACUGCCUCCAGCCUGCACACUGAAGACAAGACCACGCUGCCUCCAGCCUGCACACUGAAGACAAGACCACACUGCCUCCAGCCUGCGCACUGAAGACAAGACCACACUGCCUCCAGCCUGCACACUGAAGACAAGACCACACUGCCUCCAGCCUGCACACUGAAGACAAGACCACACUGCCUCCAGCCUGCACACUGAAGACAAGACCACACUGCCUCCAGCCUGCGCACUGAAGACAAGACCACACUGCCUCCAGCCUGCACACUGAAGACAAGACCACACUGCCUCCAGCCUGCACACUGAA